rnacentral:lncRNA from 1 species
UGCUGUUGUUUAAUGGCGGAAAGAUUCUGACAGCCAGCUUAGCUAGCUCGUACCUCCACGUUGCUUCCUCGCCCACAUGGCCGAUCCCCGCUCGAUCGAUCCCUCGCCAUUGAUCACCUCUUCGAUCGACCUCGUGUUGACUGCAAUGUUUUGUACUGUGGUAGUUGGUGGUUGGUGAUUGGUGAUUGGUGAUUGGCCGGUCGUCUUCUCCGGAGCCGGCAGUAUAUAGGCAGCUCUCUCUGCUCGCUCCUGCUGCCGUGUGUGGUGGAGGUGGAGGUGGAGCUCGUCGGGUUUCUUGGCGAUGGGGAAGGCGGGGAGGUGGCUGAGGAGCUUCUUGGCGGGGAAGAAGGAUGGUGGGAAGAGGAGGGAGAAGCACGGCGGCGCGACGCCGGUGGUGGCG